AGUGAACGCUGGCGGUAGGCCUAACACAUGCAAGUCGAACGGCAGCACAGUAAGAGCUUGCUCUUACGGGUGGCGAGUGGCGGACGGGUGAGGCAUACAUCGGAAUCUACUUUUUCGUGGGGGAUAACGUAGGGAAACUUACGCUAAUACCGCAUACGACCUACGGGUGAAAGCAGAGGAUCUUCGCACCUUGCGCGACUCAAUGAGCCCAUGUCGGAUUAGCUAGUUGGGGGGGUAAAGGCACACCAAGGCCACGAUCCGUAGCUGGGCUGAGAGGAUGGACCGCCCACACGGAAACUGGGACAGGGCCCGAAUCCCAACGGAGGGAGGAGGUGGGAAUUUUUGGCCAUGGGCGAAAGCCCGAAGCAGGCCAUCCGGGGGGGUGAAGAAGGCCUUCGGGUUGUAAAGCCCUUUUGUUGGGAAAGAAAAGCAGCAGGUUAAUACCCCGCUGUUCUGACGGUACCCAAAGAGUAAGCACCGGCUAACUUCGUG
rnacentral:rRNA from 1 species